GAUCCUGGCUCAAGAUGAACGCUGGCGGCGUGCCUAACACAUGCAAGUCGAGCGAUCUCUUCGGAGAGAGCGGCGGACGGGUGAGUAACGCGUGGGUAACCUGCCCUGUACACACGGAUAACAUACCGAAAGGUAUGCUAAUACGGGAUAAUAUAUAAGAGUCGCAUGACUUUUAUAUCAAAGAUUUUUCGGUACAGGAUGGACCCGCGUCUGACUAGCUUGUUGGCGGGGUAACGGCCCACCAAGGCG
rnacentral:rRNA from 1 species